GAUGAACGCUGGCGGCGUGCCUAAUACAUGCAAGUCGAGCGAACGGACGAGAAGCUUGCUUCCCUGAUGUUAGCGGCGGACGGGUGAGUAACACGUGGAUAACCUACCUAUAAGACUGGGAUAACUUCGGGAAACCGGAGCUAAUACCGGAUGAUAUUUUGAACCGCAUGGUUCAAAAGUGAAAGACGGUCUUGCUGUCACUUAUAGAUGGAUCCGCGCUGCAUUAGCUAGUUGGUAAGGUAACGGCUUACCAAGGCAACGAUGCAUAGCCGACCUGAGAGGGUGAUCGGCCACACUGGAACUGAGGCACGGUCCAGACUCCUACGGGAGGCAGCAGUAGGGAAUCUUCCGCAAUGGGCGAAAGCCUGACGGAGCAACGCCGCGUGAGUGAUGAAGGUCUUCGGAUCGUAAAACUCUGUUAUUAGGGAAGAACAUAUGUGUAAGUAACUGUGCACAUCUUGACGGUACCUAAUCAGAAAGCCACGGCUAACUACGUG
rnacentral:rRNA from 1 species